rnacentral:lncRNA from 1 species
CGCGACGCCGACGCCUCGAACGCGCCGCAAACGUAGACGACGGCAUUCCACGGCGCUGCGAAGCCAGCGAAGCGUCUUCGGCAUCGACACCGGACUCCGGACUCAAAAGAGAAGAACGCACUCGGCGACGGAACUCCGCGGCUCCGCAACACGGACUGAUAGGUGCCAGUGCGGUUGCUGCAUGCCGAUGGAGAUCGUCGUCAGGUUGUCUGCCGCCGGGUGUACACUGCCGCCGUACGCAAGCAGCAGGGCCGGCGCGCUGCGUGACGAACCACUUGGAUUUCGACUCGCUGUGCCCCAGCCGGGGUGUGCUAUGACUAGCUUUCCAUAAUAGACGCCACUAUGGGCAGAAGAAAAUGCGGGGCGACAAGGAACAAGUGAGUACGACUUGCCGAUCGUGAAACUUGCGAUCGGCGUCGACAGCGUUCCAAUCAUCGGCGCCCGUUUUUCUUGCCCCACGUCCGCACGGGAAACCUUUCAAUAGAAAACACUUAGCGAUCAAUUGCUUUUUUUAAUGUUCGCUUCACGUGUCGGUUUAUUGUUUUUUGUUUUGUUUGCCUUGCGUUUUCGUUUUCUUGCCCAUGCCUCCCAAGCUGCGAGCCGCGGAUGAGGACCCCUCCAGCGACACGGAGUCGGAGUUGGGCUCCGGUCCGUCUUCGGUUGAGAUCCUGGCCCUCAAUGACCCUGCAGUGACCGUAUGUCUACCGCCCUCGAGUUGGUGAUGGAGCAUUUAGCAGCCGUCACGGGCGGGACCGGCGGCCAGCGGCAGUGCGAGCCAGAGGAGCUCGACGACCGCAAGUUCGUCGCCGACUUCGUGGCGGUGCUGGGCGUAUACGCAAGAGCGUCGAGCGCCUCGGACGCGUAGCGCCUCGGAUGCCUACGUGCUGAAGCGGAUCUUCCCCUUGCCUUGCCGGCGAGCGCGAGACGAUGGUGCUUCUGGUACGCUGCCUAUAGGCAGUGGAUGCUAUGGUUGUGACUGCAACUGGGGCAGAG